rnacentral:rRNA from 1 species
CUCAAAUUUGAAAUCUGGCACCUUCGGUGUCCGAGUUGUAAUUUGAAGAAGGUAACUUUGGAGUUGGCUCUUGUCUAUGUUCCUUGGAACAGGACGUCACAGAGGGUGAGAAUCCCGUGCGAUGAGAUGUCCAACUCUAUGUAAAGUGCUUUCGAAGAGUCGAGUUGUUUGGGAAUGCAGCUCUAAGUGGGUGGUAAAUUCCAUCUAAAGCUAAAUAUUGGCGAGAGACCGAUAGCGAACAAGUACAGUGAUGGAAAGAUGAAAAGAACUUUGAAAAGAGAGUGAAAAAGUACGUGAAAUUGUUGAAAGGGAAGGGUUUGAGAUCAGACUUGGUAUUUUGUAUGUCUUGCUUUCGGGUGGGGCCUCUGCAGUUUACUGGGCCAGCAUCGGUUUGGACGGUAGGAUAAUGACAUUGGAAUGUGGCACUACUUCGGUGGUGUGUUAUAGACUUUGUUGAUACUGCCUGUCUAGACCGAGGACUGCGUCUUUGACUAGGAUGCUGGCAUAAUGAUCCUAAACCGCC